GGACUCUUGAAGUCUUAGUGGCGCAGCUAACGCACUAAGUUGACCGCCUGGGGAGUACGGCCGCAAGGUUAAAACUCAAAUGAAUUGACGGGGGCCCGCACAAGCGGUGGAGCAUGUGGUUUAAUUCGACGCAACGCGAAGAACCUUACCUGGCCUUGACAUGCAGAGAACUUUCCAGAGAUGGAUUGGUGCCUUCGGGAACUCUGACACAGGUGCUGCAUGGCCGUCGUCAGCUCGUGUCGUGAGAUGUUGGGUUAAGUCCCGUAACGAGCGCAACCCCUAUCCCUAGUUGCUAGCAGUUCGGCUGAGAACUCUAGGGAGACUGCCGGUGACAAACCGGAGGAAGGUGGGGAUGACGUCAGGUCAUCAUGGCCCUUACGGCCAGGGCUACACACGUGCUACAAUGGUGCGUACAGAGGGCUGCAAACCCGCGAGGGGGAGCUAAUCUCACAAAACGCAUCGUAGUCCGGAUCGGAGUCUGCAACUCGACUCCGUGAAGUCGGAAUCGCUAGUAAUCGCGAAUCAGAAUGUCGCGGUGAAUACGUUCCCGGGCCUUGUACACACCGCCCGUCACACCAUGGGAGUGGAUUGCACCAGAAGUGGUUAGUCUAACUUCGGGAGGACGAU
rnacentral:rRNA from 1 species